rnacentral:rRNA from 1 species
CCUACGGGCGGCAGCAGUGAGGAAUAUUGGUCAAUGGGCUUACGCCUGAACCAGCCAAGUCGCGUGAGGGAAGACUGCCCUAUGGGUUGUAAACCUCUUUUGUCAGGGAGCAACGCCGGCUACGUGUAGCCGGACUGAGAGUACCUGAAGAAAAAGCAUCGGCUAACUCCGUGCCAGCAGCCGCGGUAAUAGGGAGGAUUCGAGCGUUAUCCGGAUUUAUGGGGUUUAAAGGGUGCGUAGGCGGAAUGCCAAGUAAGCGGUAAAAUCGCGGGGCUCAACCUCGCUCCGCCGUUGAACCUGGCGUUCUUGAGUGGGCGAGAGGUAUGCGGAAUGCGUGGUGUAGCGGUGAAAUGCAUAGAUAUCACGCAGAACUCCGAUUGCGAAGGCAGCAUACCGGCGCCCAACUGACGCUGAAGCACGAAAGCGUGGGUAUCGAACAGGAUUAGAUACCCGAGUAGUC